rnacentral:rRNA from 1 species
UACGUAGGCAGCAAGCGUUGUUCGGAAUUACUGGGCGUAAAGAGUGUGUAGGCGGUGCUCUAAGUCUGUUGUGAAAUCUCCCGGCUUAACUGGGAGGGUGCAGCGGAAACUGGAAUGCUCGAAGUAUGGGAGAGGUAAGCGGAAUUCCUGGUGUAGCGGUGAAAUGCGUAGAUAUCAGGAGGAACACCUGUGGUGUAGACAGCUUACUGGACCAUCACUGACGCUGAGACACGAAAGCGUGGGUAGCAAACAGGA